rnacentral:rRNA from 1 species
GAUCAUGAUUCAGGAUGAACGCUAGCUACAGGCUUAACACAUGCAAGUCGAGGGGUAGCAGGGUAGCAAUACCGCUGACGACCGGCGCACGGGUGAGUAACACGUAUCCAACCUUCCCAUAACUCAGGGAUAGCCUUUCGAAAGAAAGAUUAAUACCUGAUAGUACUUUUUCAAGGCAUCUUGAGAAAGUUAAAGAUUUAUUGGUUAUGGAUGGGGAUGCGUUCCAUUAGAUAGUUGGUGAGGUAACGGCUCACCAAGUCUUCGAUGGAUAGGGGUUCUGAGAGGAAGGUCCCCACAUUGGUACUGAGACACGGACCAAACUCCUACGGGAGGCAGCAGUGAGGAAUAUUGGUCAAUGGGCGAGAGCCUGAACCAGCCAAGUAGCGUGAAGGAUGAAGGUCCUAUGGAUUGUAAACUUCUUUUAUAGUAGAAUAAAGUGAUCCACGUGUGGAUUUUUGUAUGUAUACUAUGAAUAAGGAUCGGCUAACUCCGUGCCAGCAGCCGC